GAUGAACGCUAGCGGCAGGCUUAAUACAUGCAAGUCGUGGGGCAGCAGGUCUGUAGCAAUACAGAUGCUGGCGACCGGCAAACGGGUGCGUAACACGUACGCAACCUUCCCGUUACUGGGGAAUAGCCCAGGGAAACUUGGAUUAAUACCCCAUAUUAUAUUGGUUAGGCAUCUGACUGAUAUCAAAGCUUCGGCGGUAACGGAUGGGCGUGCGGUUGAUUAGGUAGUUGGCGGGGUAACGGCCCACCAAGCCUACGAUCAAUAGCUGAUGUGAGAGCAUGAUCAGCCACACGGGCACUGGGACCCGGGCCCGACUCCUACGGGAGGCAGCAGUAAGGAAUAUUGGGCAAUGGACGAAAGUUUGACCCAGCCAUGCCGCGUGAAGGAUGAAGGUCCUCUGGAUUGUAAACUUCUUUUAUCUGGGGCGAAAAUCGGUUAUUCUUAGCCGCUUGACAGUACCAGAUGAAUAAGCACCGGCUAACUCCGUGCCAGCAGCCGCGGUAACAC
rnacentral:rRNA from 1 species